rnacentral:tRNA from 1 species
UGAUAGAUAGUAUAUUAGUACACAUAGUUUCGGCCUAUGAGGAGAGUGGGUACUCUUUAUCAU